GUGAACGCUGGCGGCGUGGAUAAGUCAUGCAAGUCAAGGGGGCCGCAAGGCAACCGGCAGACGAGGUAGUAACACGUAGGUAGACCCCCCGAAGUCGGGCAUAGCCAGUCGAAAGACUGGGUAAUUCCCGAUAGUCCUGUAAAGGUAAAGGUUUUUCGCUUCGGGAGUUGCCUGCGUAGUAUCAGCUAGUUGGUGAGGUAAUGGCUCACCAAGGCUACGACGCUUAGGGGGAGUGAGAGCUCGAUCCCCACCGAUGGAACUGCGACACGGUCCAUACUCCUACGGGAGGCUGCAGACGAGAAUAUUCCGCAAUGGGCGAAAGCCUGACGGAGCGACGCCGCGUGCUGGAUGAAGUGCUUUGGUACGUAAACAGCUUUUAUCGGGGGCGAAGUUAUUGACGGUACCCGAUGAAUAAGAGGCUCCUAACUCUGUGCCAGCAGGAGCGGUAAUACAGAGGCCUCAAGCAUUACCCGGAAUCACUGGGGUAAAGGGUGUACGAGGCGGCUCUAUUAGCCGUGCGUUAAAUCCGUGGGCUCAACCUGGCGGCCGGCGUACGAAACGGUAGAGCUAGAAGGCAGCAAGAGGUGCACGGAACACAUGGUGGAGGGGUGAAAUCCGUUGAUAUCAUGGGGAACACCAAAGGCGAAGGCAGUGCACUGGUGCGUUCUUGACGCUCACACACGAAAGCCAGGGGAGCGAAGGGGAUUAGAUACCCCCGUAGUCCUGGCCCUCAACGUUUGCUCGCUCGCUUUACGGAGUAUCGACCCUCUGUGAAGCUAAGCUAACGCGGUAAGCGAGCCGCCUGGGUAGUACGAUCGCAAGAUUAUAAACUCAAAGGAAUAGACGGGGACUUGCACAAGCGGUGGAUUAUGUGGCUUAAUUCGUCGGUAAACGAAGAACCUUACCAAGGUUAGAAAUCCAGCUGCAUCCAACCCGAAAGGGAUGGAGCCUUCGAGGGUGCUAUUGGACAGGUGAUGCAUGGUCGUCGUCAGUUCGUGGUUUGAACUGUUCCCGUUCAGUGGGGUAACGAACGCAACCCCCGUUGUCUGUUGCCUAUAUGGCCAGGCGAGAUCUGCUCCCUCACGGGAGAGGAAGGUGGGGAUGACGCCAGAUCAGCAUGUCCUCUGAUACCUUGGGCACGCACACGUAAUACAACGGUGGCGCAAACGGGUUGCAAUUGCCGCAAGGCGGAGCUAAUCCCUAAAUCCAACCUCAAGUACGGAACUGAGGUCUUGCAAUCGACCUCAUGAAGCCGGAAUCGCUAGUAAUCGCGGGUCAGCUAAACCGCGGUGAAUACGUUCUCGAGUCUUGUACUCACCGCCCCGUCAAGUCAAGGGAGCUGGGGGUGCCCGAAGGUCUGCCUCGCGCAGGACUACGGCAAAUUCAGUGACAAGGACU
rnacentral:rRNA from 1 species